rnacentral:rRNA from 1 species
GUGGAAACCAGUUGCUAAUACCGAAUAAAACUUAGUAUCGCCUGAUAUCAAGUUAAAAGGCGCUACGGCGUCACCUAGAGAUGGAUCCGCGGUGCAUUAGUUAGUUGGUGGGGUAAAGGCUUACCAAGACGAUGAUGCAUAGCCGAGUUGAGAGACUGAUCGGCCACAUUGGGACUGAGACACGGCCCAAACUCCUACGGGAGGCUGCAGUAGGGAAUCUUCCACAAUGGGCGCAAGCCUGAUGGAGCAACGCCGCGUGUGUGAUGAAGGCUUUCGGGUCGUAAAGCACUGUUGUAUGGGAAGAAAUGCUAAAAUAGGGAAUGAUUUUAGUUUGACGGUACCAUACCAGAAAGGGACGGCUAAC